GUCAGCUAGAAACAGAAAUGAGGAGGUAGAGUACAGGAAAGUGGCGUUGUGUUCAGUUAAGACUUUGUGGAAAGAAUUAUUACUAUAAUUUACAGUGUGUACAGACCCGAGUCUACAUGAUGCUGCAUUGUCUGUCCUUACACCACUUAAUAGUUCUGCUCUUAAUGGUAGUCAUAACAGAAUGUACAGAGACCCAGAGACCUUGUGAAGAGCAGGAGGUUGAGCAAUAUGGAGCCAAAGGACAAAGUACAUUUCUACACUGCUUCACCACAGAUCAAGAAACAGCCACUCUAAAUAUAACACUUUACAGACAAGAAGGAAGUGAAUCAAACAAGCUGUUAUAUCCCGCUAGUAGCCUAACAGUGGAGCAGCAGAGACUGUCUCUUCAGAAGGACUCGGGCAAAGUGAUGUUUGUGUUGCAUAAUCUGAGCUUCUCUGAUGGUGGUCAGUAUAAAUGUGAGGUUCACAAGAACCAAAACUGCCUAAUAAUCAAAACAUUUUUUCUAAAAAUUAAAGAAUGUAAAAUCUUGGAUCCAGUCAAAGCAGUGCAGAACUCAGCAGUUACAAUUACAUGCCCUGUAUUCUCACCACACCCUCGAAGUACACAAGUCUUUUGGGAGGCUGUUUAUGGAGACAGAGCUGAUCAUAUAUACCAGUGCCCCUCCUCCUGCACUUCAGCAAGCAACAACAGAACAGCUAAUCUCUGCUCAAGAGCAAGAACAGAAGAGGAUCCAGAAAGGGGAGCUAGAUCACUGACCAUUAGUCCUGUGAACUCCUUAGAUGCUAUCUGGUAUCGGUGUACAGUGAAAGCUGGCCAUGUAAAAUACUGUUCUGAAGUUAAAGUUAUUGUGAAAGAUGAGCCUCCGGUUCAGCUUUUGACUAAAGACUGUAAAAACAUUGGCACGUUCAAAGCAGCACUGAACUCAGCAUUCACGUUCACAUGGCCUGUGCCUACAUCAUAUUCUGGAGCCACGCAGGUGAUCUGGUGGACCAUUGAAGGAGACAAGACUGUUCCGAUAACACGCUGCCCAUCUCCCUGCACCUCCAGCAGAGCCCGAAGACCCCUUUGUGAAAGAGUUAAAACAGUGCAGGGUGCAGGGAAUGUAUCACUGACCAUAAAUCCUGUAAAGUCCACAGAUGCUUUGUGGUAUUGGUUUAGAGUGAUGAAUGCCACCUCAUGCAAUGCAUUCAUGCUUUCUUUCACAGGUAACACCUCUCCUUAUCAGACAGCUAAAGUCACAGGUGGUUCCCACGCAGGGCUCAUCAUUCCAGAGCCAUCAGAGAACAGUACUGAAGAGACUGCAGAAGUCAACAACUUUACUGUGACAGUGACUGUGGCCUCAACAGUCUCUGUAUGCAUCUUUGUGGCCCUGUUGGUGCUAUUGGUGAGAGCACGUCAGUGUUUCAGAAAAUGGAAGAAGAAGGGUGUACGCAAAAUUAAGCUUGAGAGUCAGUAUAAUGCAUAUGCAGAAAUCGCAGACAAGGAUACCUUCCUGUAUUCGUUAGUCCAGCAUGAUCCUGCAAGCAUGUGCACUUUUAAGAACCAGUGAGAAAAUCCCAGCCCAGUUUCAGAUUGUGUUUUUGAUGUGAUUUUUAUUUUCUUCUCACUUGUUUUCUUUGUUUUUGAGACAUAAAAAAACAUCAGUACAAUGAUUAGAAUGCCUGUAUACUUGAGCAUUGACUCAAUGCUUUAUGAUGUUGACUGUGUGUUGACUGUGAAUGUUCACCUUUAUGUCUUAAAUAAAUAAAUACUCUAAAACCUUUUCUUCAUGUUUCUUUUUCCGAAAGGGGAAAAUUUUCAGAAACAGAUUUACAAGCUUUAACAAUAAAUACACACCUAAAACAGGGCAAUACAGUCCAUGGUAUAGUCCAUAGAGCAACAAUACAUCAGAUAAACAGGUGGUUAUUUGUACUGGUAAAGAAAGUGCAUAAGGUGCCUAAAUCAUAAAUACAGAGUUAGAAUGAAAGUGCAAAAAUGUUUAGAAUGUAAAGACAGAUGUUGGAGCAAAUAGAAAUUAAAGUUUUGAAGAGAACAGUUGUCACUUAUCAAGUAUGAAGUAGACAUGCUGGUGUGUAAAUAAUUAUUUAGUGAAUCCAGUGAAUGUGUUAGAGUAAAAUUCUCUUUUUCUAGCAUUGGGAGAUCUGGUGCCACUUUCUGGAAAGUAGAGGGCCAAACAGGUUGUGUCUGUGUCUGUAUGCAAACAAGCGGAGACACAGUGAAAUGAGCCUUGUGUCCAGCAGGGCUGGAGUGGGAUUUGUUUUCAUACAGAGAGUUAUGUGUUGCAGAUCAACCCACCCCUCUAAACUCUAGCUGGUGAUAAAAUGAAAACAGCUGGAAACUGUCUUAAAUGUGACCAUGGGAGUCAAUAUGCUACAAAUUUAUGGAAGUUAAGUAAGUUAAAAUCAGCAUUUCUCACUACCCACCUGCUCAGCUUUUCUUCUUGUCUUCCUUAAGCAGGUUUUUUUUUUAUUCUUGUCUUCUCUCAUUCAUGAUGCAAAACUGAUAUUCUCUGUUAGAAAUGUGCUAACGGCCAAGAGAGCUGAAAUGCGGCAAUACAGAAGCUCUCUGGAUGUUUACUCUUUGUCAAAAACAAGAAAAGAAAAAGGAGCCAAGAAAAUAAGAACCUAACAUCAACCUCAAGAAAUUAGUGUAUCAAAUUCAGCAUGAUUGUUUGAAUCUGGUGCUGACUGUCACACUAGGCAGAGGUGUACAGAGUUUACAUUUUUACAUUACUGUUUUUACAUUACCAGUACUGUAAUUUUCAGUAGGAAUAAUGUGAACUUCAACUUUGUGUAAAAUCAGCAAAAAUCAGUAAGCCUAAAUUAUUACAGAAAUACACUGAGAUGUAACAUUUUGUGAUGUGUACAGAAUCGCAGACGAACACAGAUAAAAUACAAGUGUGAUUUAAUAAAACCAAAUCACCAGUUGUCAAAAGGGCAAGCCAAGGUCAAAAAACACAGAUCCAAAACACAAGCAAAGGUACAAAAAGGGCAAGGUAAAAGUUGAGUAGUCAACAAACAAAAUCCAAGGUCAAAACACAUGAGAAUAAACAGCAUGACGGAAAACCACUCGGUAAGUCUCAGAGAAACAAUACUUUUAUAGUUUAACCUGAGAGUCAUGUGAUCCCAACACAGGUGGAUAGUGUUAGUAAUCUGGAGACUGAGAUCUCUGAUAGGAGCGUGGUGGAGAGUAGGAAGUCACGUGAGACUCCAGAGGAUUCUGGGAGAUGGAGUCACUCCCCUCUAUGGAAGAAUGAUCUGUAUGUGUGACACAUUUAUAGUUUGUCAGAACAUUCUUGCGCUUACAUGCGUCAAU
ensembl:lncRNA